UCCCUGGUGGUCUAGUGGCUAAGGCUCUGUGCUCAUAAUGCAGAAGGCCCAGGUUCGAUCCCUGGUCAGGGAA